AACGAACGCUGGCGGCAGGCUUAACACAUGCAAGUCGAGCGCCCCGCCCGGGGUGCGGCCGACGGGUGAGUAACGCGUGGGAACGUACCUUUUGGUUCGGAACAACUCCGGGAAACUGGUGCCAAUACCGGACAAGCGCUAACGGGGAAAGAUUUAUCGCCGUACGAUCGGGCCGCGUCUGAUUUUCUGGUUGGUGAGGUGACGGCACGCCAUGGCGACGAUCAGGAGCUGGUCUGAUAGGAUGAUCAGUCACACUGGGACUGAGACACGGCCCAGACUGCUACGGGGGGGAGCAGUGGGGUAUACUGUGGAAGGGACGCAAGCCUGACAAAGCCAUGCCGGGUGAGUGAUGAAGGCCGUAGUGUUGUAAAGCUCUUUUGUCCGGGAAGAUAAUGACGGUACCGGAAGAAUAAGCCCCGGCUAACUUCGUG
rnacentral:rRNA from 1 species